rnacentral:lncRNA from 1 species
UGCUGUCUUCUCUGGAGACCGCUACGUGGUAAAAGUUUUCCCUAAUAGCUUCCUAUGUAUAAGGAAGGGGCUGGUGGCUAAGCUUGCCCCAACUCUCAACGGGCAAUUUACAAACCGGUGAGAAACAUGGUCUGUAAGACACUUGGCUAGGAUUAGCCCAGACCUGCCGAUGCUCCUACGCAAGUCUGGUUGUGUCUCGGGUAGUUCGAGUAGUAGUUGUAGUUGUAAGGAGCCAGUAUAUCAAAUAUAUUCUCUUUAAUCCGGAGAAAAAAUACCCUUUGAUUGAAAGGCGGAAAAGAUCCUUGUUUGUUGCUAGCUUGUCUAGCUCUGCUGCUCGUGCUAGAUCCAUAACACUCACACCCGGCUACUCGCUCUGUUGCGGAUUUCGCUUCCGUGUCUUUUCGACUUAUUCUUUAGUUGAAGCUACUGAUGCCCUCACUUAACCCACCUUCACGCCCUUCCUUAUCUUUAGAAUGUAGUAUCUUCUAUUUAGAAUGUAGUUUCAUAAGCAUGCAUUGUUUCUUGCUUUGCUAUGAGUAAUAAGCAUUGUUUCUUGCUUUGUUUGCUAUGAGAGUGAAAGCUGCUCAGAAAGGUCUGUUUAGUGUGAGAGGCUAUUCCUUUUAGGUUCCUUCAUUGGCCUUGGUGCGGGUCACCCCAUUCUAAGGCGGAUCUCUGCUUCGACGCUCCUUCCUAUCAAACGGAAAAACGGACAUCUAAAUCUUAUUUACUGACAAAUCAAUCUGACUUGCCCCGGGCUAGCUCUUAGAUUCCUUCCUUUCGUUCUGUAGUUCUAGUUAUUUGAUAUGAGAAUGGAAUAUCAGCCCCACUAGACCGUAUAGAUAUCAGGCUUUGCAACCUAACUGUUAUUCCUUAGCUACUGAUACGGAUCUUUAUACUUGCUCUCCUUAGCUUCACUAUCUUGCUCUACUGCCUCCCAUGCUUACUACCUUUUCUCUAUCUUACUAUCCUGCCUAGAGCAUUCCUAUACUUAUUACUGAAGUGCCUGUUCUCUAAUUGAGUUUACUAGCAUAGUAGUUCAAACUGAAACCCCUUCCCAGCAAACUUCCUCCCCUAACUCCUAUUCUAGCUACCUUGUCUCUCGUUAUGUAACUACAGAUCCAGAUCCUUGCUGCCAGCUUUAACUGCAACUGACUAGAAUGGAUCUACUUCCCUUUCAUUCUUUUCGAAACACUCUGAUUCUAAUUUCUUGGAGUUUCUUUUCAUUAUCAUAGUGGUUAGGGGCGCCGUGCUCUUUUUUCUAGUAUCCCGGUAGUCUGUGUAAAGCCAAGUCCUGUAUUCGCCCUUCUUACCUUCUUACCACCGGCUCAUCCCCUUCCUUGCGUUUAAGGUCAGCUUCUAUAUCUCCUAAGUCACCUUCCGUUCUAGAAUAAGUAUCGGCAAAAGCGAAAUAAGCGCAUCGAAAGGAGUUCAAACUAAAAGAGCAAGGGAAAAUAGGAGGCGACCACUCUCUCUUGAUUCUUAAAGCAUGGGGAUUCAUUCAAGAACGGUUUGGAUUCUGGGGUUGUGCCCUGAAGUGAAGAGACUCAGCGAGCCGACCAAGUUAGAGGCUACAGAUAAAGUUGGUGAGCCGGGUGAUGGGAAACCUUCCUGCACGGAGAGCACUGAAGACGAAUGAGAGCUGAGAACGAAAUUAGUGCUUUAAGUCUAAAGCCAUGGACUACGCUCUCGUGUGAAGAAAGACAUGUACCAAUUCGUAGCUCAUCAUCAAUCUCAAUGACCAGAACAGAACUAGAUGAUGCGGUCUUUCCUCUAAGACGUUAACAGUAAUAUGCAGAGCGUUGUCAACAUGUUCUAUUUCACUCACUCCAUCCAUGAUGGCUUUUCCCCUUUUCCAUACUAUAAGCUUCCCGUCUGCUAAGAAAACCAGAAUACGAGUUUGGUAGUGUUGAGACCGAAGAAUCCAUUACAGAGUGACCUUGCUUGUCCAGAGGAAGAAACACUCGCAUCUAUAUCACCGAAUUAAUAUUAUUGUUCUUUCUUUGAUAAGAAUCGAUCCUACGUUUGUCUUGGCUGGAAGAGAUUUUGGAGGUGGUGGCAGGCCCCAAGGUUGAAGAUCAGAUCUACUUUCCUUCUGAGGAUCUACUAGUGGUUCCCGAGAAAAGGAAAAUGACACUGAUUUCGGGUUUUUCUAUUGGAUUGAUUUUUCUAAGAAUAAAAGGUGUGUGUGUCAGGCAGAAAAGAGAAAGUCACCUCUAAGGCUUUCCAGACCAGGCAGAAAAGAGAAAGUCACCUCUAAGGCUUUCCAGACCCUGUAUAAAUAGAUUAGCUAUCCAAGUCCACAUACGCAGGCAGUAGAAAUAAGUAGAUUAGCUAUCCAAGUCCACAUACCCAAUAUUGAACAUGCAUUUCCGAAACUUCCAACAAUCAAUCCACUCUAAUUCAAGCAUCAUGUGACCAUGGGAUAAGUUCCUUUCGAAGGAAGACAGACCUUUGACUGGCGAUUGAAUGAGUUGGUUUGCUAACGGGGGAGAAUUCUAGUUGCGCAAGGCUGGACUACUUUCGACAACAUUUUCAAUCAGAAAGAAGGAUUUCCAUAAAGGCCAAGGAUACAAUUUAGUAGACCUCGGAUGUAAGCACCUUAUGUUAUGGGUGGGGUUUAGGAGGAGCACCUUAUGUUAUGGGUGGGGUUUUGGAGGAAAGAAGGAGAAUCUGAAGUUGUUGUCUUCCCUACACAGGGAGCAGAGAGCCCAUUCGUUGACCUUCGGAUAAGACAUAUAUAGGCGGACUUCCCUUAGUAUAUAUCAAGGAAGAAAAGAAGGAGUUAGUUCAGUACCAAAAGCCGGAGGUGUUACCAACACAGGGAAGGGAGUGGAUAGCCUAUUCGGAGGCCGGCAGGGAAGAGAUAGCCUACUUCCGCUAUUCCAGCAAAGAAAAGAAAAUAGUAAUGCCACUAUUAAUAGAAUGGAAAAAGAAUAUAAAAAACACUAUUAAUAGAAAUAAGGAACUAUACACUGCUGACUUAUAAUAUCUAUUGCUUGUUUACUUGACUGAUGACUUAUAAUAUCCAUUGCUUGUUUACUUGUUGAAACCUCACAGCUAGUUCUUUCGCACCCCGCUACAACAAAACAAUACAAUGUUAGCGCAAGGCAGGCAAGGGUGGGUGUUAGUGAGCUUUAGAAGAGUCAGCUGUUAGGUUCAUUUCUUAUAGAUUGAUUCAGUUAAUAGUAGUUUGAAAUGAUCUUCUUUCUAGUGUUGUUACGGGACUCCUAACGCACAAGAGUUAGCGGCUAAAUCAACUCGCUUGUUACAUUGAGUGCAAAAGAAUAGAACUGAGCGUGAUACAUAUAGAGAUAGGUGUGAUUCAAAAUACCGAAACUCUCACUUAAGCUUACAACGGCUUGAGGAUUGUUCCCUGCAACAACUAAUUGAUGAAAGGUAGGUAAAAAAGAAGAAAAGCGCACAGAAGCACGUUGUAACGACAAGAAAUCUUGACCAGCCCUUUGCCAGAGCUCAGUAAGCACUUAGGUUGUUUUCACCAGUGGUUUAUUGGAGGUUUCAGAAUCAAGUAAAGGGUAGCUGAACAGAAGAAUCUGAUAGGUAGCCGAGACGAAGAAAGGACUUGACAAGCUUGAACAAUAGGCGGCAAGUUUCUUUACCUAUGAAUCGGCUAAAAGAGUGACUGUUUGAGUGCUCGUUAAGUCUAGGAAAGUAGCUAGGGAAAGAAAGGAACCAAUGCAGUUUGUUUGUAAGGCAAGGGAAGCAGUUAGAGCAGAGCCUGUAGCAAGUGGGUCUCAUAAUAAAGGUAGUCUAGGACCAGAAGUAGACUCAUCGACGGACUGGGUAUCCGGUAUAAAGAGAAGAAAUAGAAUCCCCAGUGCCAGAAAUGAAUAGUAAAGCGGUAAAGCCUUUGACUCCUGGUUGCUCAAGCAGCCCUACUAUAAUGGCUCCUAUCAAGUGGAAAAUCCAGUAUGGGGCUUAGGGUCAAGAUGCCGGCUAGAUGAUUUGAUUGAAGCUAGUGUACAAGUUCCAGCAGAAGAUAGAUAAAGAUCAGAAUCCUUAGAAAGUGAGUAAGCGAAAAGUGGUGUUGUGUCAAUUCGUUUUUCUGCGCUAAGAGGAAGUUGAAGCCUAAACCUUAAAAGAUUGUAGAGCAGGACAGGAUCCGUAUCAGGAAAUUCUGUUUCUGUGUUUUGCCGUAGAGCGAGGUGAAAGUGCUGCAGUAACUCAAUAAGCUUUAUCACGAUAUGAGGCAGGCAGUGAUCAAGUCUGCUGCAAGUUCAAGUGGUUCUUCAAGUAUAGUGAGUUCAGGUGUUUGACGAGAGGUCGAGUGCUGUGUUGGGGUUCCAUAAUUCAGGGAAGCAGUAUGUGUCUUUAGCUUACAUUUUCUUCUAUAUCAUAUGCUCGAAAAGAGAGAUAUUCCAUUCUUCAUUGAAAAGAGAGUUUCCCGGCUAAAGAAAAGAAAAGUCAGGGUAUUAAGUAAGGGUGAAGGUCAGAGACAAGCAGACAGACUAGCAACUAAGUAAGCGCAACGAGUUGCUUGUUCCCCGAACUAUAAGCAAGAAAGCAAUACUGAUAGGAAUGAAUCAAUUAUGGAUAUUUCCAGUAAACAAGCAAGCGGUGGAAUUCCAGAAGAAAGAAGCAAAUCCACUAGUAUACAAGCGGGUGCACCGCGGUAGCGAGCGAAAAAGGUUUGGUUACUUCAUCUAGAAUAGGUUUACUAAUUCCAUUCAAGGCGCAUAAGCUUAUUGGAGUUGCCGUAGCUUGUUUGCACGUUUGCGAGUUAUUAAGCGCGUUAGAGAGUUUCGAGUCACUUCAUCAUCGGGAGUUACGUAACGGGUAGAGUAUGUUAGUCUUAGGGUUGACUGAGCACUACCCCUACAGCUCGAAGUAAAGUGAAAGUGAAGUAUAGAAGAAAGGAUGUGCCACCCAUAUUAGAUUCUUGAAGCUGCAUAGGGAACAAGCAAAGCAACAGGCGAAAAGGGAAAGCUAAUAACUCUACGAAACGACAACAAAUGGAAUGCAAAUAACUCCACGAAAUGACAACAAGGGUAAAGUCCAGCCAAGUAAAAGGUAAGGUCAGGGAACAAGCAAUGUAUAAUGUAUAGCUUACGUGAGCAGAACGAACAAGUAACGACGAUAAGAAUAAUGUACUCUGGAAUAAUUGAGUACUCAUAUGUAUUUGGUAAGGCCCACACUAUGUAUCGUAUAAAGUGGAGUCGCCUGUUGCAAGACAAGAGUGAGUACAGGCAAAACAGUAGUUGCAAGACAAGAGAAGUAUAAAGUGGAGUCGCCUCUAAGGCAGAAAGAAGCUUAUUAGUCUAUGGAAGAAAGAAGCUUAUUAGUCCAGUAUAAGUAAUGUUAUAUGGCAAAGAGCUGUAAGGCAGAAAGAAAAAGCUUAUUAAUCUAUGGAAGAAAGAAGCUUAUUAGUCUAUAUUCUGAGUAAUGUUAUAUGGCAAAGAGCUGUAAGGCUGUGUUCUUAUAAAGUAAAGAAGCAUAAGCAAGGAACAACAAACUUGGAAAGUCAAAGAGCUCACGGUAGCUUGAGAUAACUCCGCCUAGUGGCUUGGCGGCUUGUCCGGCUUGCACUUAUAUUAAAGCUGCUUGGCCCCGGUUUCCAAAGAAAUUGUUUGACAACCACAUAAGAGAAAUAAGGAAAGGAAGAGACAAGGCAAACGCUUAAAACACUUGGAGAGAGCGCUACUAACCCGAGCUCAUCAGUAGGAGAAUAUUCCGUUAGAGAACCAAAGCAGCAUAAAGAUCAGACUAAGUGGAAAGAUCUUACGCAGGAAAGGGUGUUGUUGAUGACAGUGAAAGUUCCGCUCAAAAGUAAGUGAAAGUUCAAUGACUGUUUUCGGGGUAUAGAGAGGGUCAUCCUCCAUGAAAUCCUCUUUUCUGCAUUUCUAGGAGAGAGGCCCUUAUUGUAAGUUUCGGCAAGGGGACAAGCUACUGCUUGCUUAAUCUGAAUUGAAUCUAUUUCAUCUAUCUCUUGCUCCACUUUCUUAACUACUGGCUCCCGACUCCUGACUUUUGACUUAUCCCUUGAAUGUGAAUGGAAGCCUUACUCUCCCACCUCUAAGUCUUUAUUGCUAGGAUCUGUCCUGAACUCUGACUUUUGCGCUUCCCCUCCUAGCCUAGGGUCUUGCUUACUUGCUUUCAUUCCCUUACUGCUUAACUGUAUCCUUGCUUAUAGGCCUUAGUCUACUACUUGCUUCUUUUACUGGGAACUGGGCAUUAAAUAAAGGAUUCUCAUACAACUACUAAUACAGCUAAGGCAACAACUAAAUAUGGGGAAUCAAACACAGAAGUCAGCCUUCCAUUACCAAUUCCAAUUUCCUCAACGAGAAGGCCUUCCUGCCUUGCUUACCCUCCUUGCUUAUCGGCUUUAGGAUGAAAAACAGAACCUAGACUUUGACUACUACCGGAAAGACCUUCACUCGAUAACCAGAUCCUAUAUUUGAUUAUUGGUACGCUACUCUGCUCUCUCAUUCUGCUACUCCUCCACCCUAGGCUUGCUUGACUUCUUUUAAGACUAUAGCUGCAGCAUCCGAUCUUGCCUUUAAUCAAUGUCAACAGGACUUAACAACUCAUACUAAUAAUACCUAUACUACAAAGGGAAUUGACUGUUUUCCUUGCGCCGGGUAUCAUGCAAUCGGGUCGCAUUAAGUUUCAAGUUCCAGUUCUAGGAUUAUGAUAUGAUGCUGGUCAUUAUGGAAUCAGAAGUAUUGUAGAAAGGGCAGUAAGCAUAAGCUCAAGUAAAUCAGCUACGGAAUUGCCUGUUCUUCCAGUUGUGUUGUGCAUCAGCCAUAAUAUAGGUGUGUGAUAAGAAGCUCCAUAAAUCCGUCUUUUCUCCUUUGUUUGUCGAUAGGAGUUUCUUCAUCUGUUUCCUAGGGCAGCUUACUUCCCCGAUCCUGUUUUUCAUCUUUCCACUGUUUCUUCUACUGGUCCUAGAACUAUAGCAAUUCCAUUCUUUUCCUCGGGUACGUCCAUAUAGCUGGUACGUAAACGAAACUUCUCCCCCGCAUUCCUAUUCUAUGUAGACUACUUGUAAUUCCUAUUCUAAGUCUCCUACUUACUUAUACUGACUUACUUUCUAAUGUUACGCCAUAUAGCGCAUAGAAUAAUCGAAUUGAAACUCUGUUGGCGCAGCGCACGACCUCUCCUCUCUCUUGAAACUAACUAACCUAUGAUCUUAGGGGCCCGGCCGAUCUAUCUCUUGAAUCGCGACAACACACCCGACCCCUACUGGUACACAACCAUAUCCCUAUUGAUUGCGCGUAUCAAUUGCAUAGGUAGCAAUGAACUCCACCCUGUUAUUCUUGACAUCUACUAUAUGUAUUGGAAAGGAUGAAAACACCCCACAGGGAAUCCAGUACUUACUCUGAAGCUGACAUUGAUGGUUAUUAGCCAGUCUGCACUUACUCGCUUGAAGUCGGUGGUGUCGCACUCCACACUUGGAUGAAACCAAUGAGUAGUAGGAAUCGCGCUCCUACGAAUAAGACCUUCGCUCGGAACUAGGACCUUAAUACAAGCUACUGAAUUAGGAACUCCGGCUUGCUUCCUUUACUGGAAACUCACACUAUUGCCCGGCACUCUUGCUGGUAAUACUCAAAUUCUUCAUCUAAUGAAUCGGAUCUUGGACUUGAGGUUAGGCUACCACCGCUUGCUCUCAUCCCGUAUUUCACCUAUGAUUCUUGGACUCUGAAAACAUAUAUUGUAAUAACUUCGCCUCCCGCAAACCCUUUUAGGCAGUAGGGGCUCGGCUGCUCGCUGAGUGUCAGGCCCUACUUUCCCUCUUUUCUUUGCUUUGGUUGGUAGCGCUUUAUUGACCUUCCUUUCUACACUGAAUCAGUAAAUUAGUGAUUGACGAAGACCUUCCUUUCUACACUGAAUCAGUAAAUUAGUGAUUGACGAAGGGUUCGUUAUUUCGGGCUCCUGAGAGUGAGAAAUGGGUUGUGCUUGAAGCCUAUUUUGGCCAUGCAUUGUAUGGAUCGGAUCCUUGUUCGGGACUCACGGGAGCUUGUGCUCGAAACCCAACCCGCUGCUUCUGCCCUAGCAAACACCAACUGACAGAGAAAGCAGACGCUAAAAAAGAGGCAAUCGCAUCUCAAGCAAUGGACGUUUACGAGCUCUUUGCUCUUUGAAACUCCCGAGAAAAGCUUCUUUCUGCUCUUUGUUAGUAUCAUUACGGGAAUUAAGAGCAUCUGAUGGUAUAGAAUUGCUCGGGAAUUCAUUGAUGGUUACUUUUGUCAGUAGUGCUAGGGUCUACUCCUUAUAUUUGGAGUCGAUCGAGCUGCUUUCCCUCAUUCUACUCGUCCAGCCCUCUUCACGAACUUGUACAAUCAAUGCCACAGAGAUAGCCAACUCUAUUAUCGAAGAAAUAGGGAAACGGGCGACGAUUUGGCACCAGAUAUCCGGAGGUGUGGAAAGAGCUGCUGUGAUAAGCGGAAAAACCAUCAAAAAACGACGAUUGCGAGUUGAGGUUUCUACAGAAAGACCCCUUGGCAAACAGAUGAAAAUGACAGGUACUUGGGAGCAUACCGAUGGAAUGAACAAAAUACGAACAGUUAACAUAAUAUGGUCAUAGAUCUUAGGUUGUAACUUGAUCAUGAGCAAAUUGGUUGAUGUUGCACCCACGUUGUAUGGAAAGUGCCAAACAUUGGGAACUACCCGGGUAGGAGUUAGGAACAGGAACAAGGAGAAGCGAGAACCACUUAAAUGGAGGAAUCGAUUGUAUUUCGUCCUUUGUUCCCCAUAGCAACUGGGGAUCGAAAAGCACCAAAUUUGAUGACUUAUUAAGGGAAAGACGAAGUAAGAGCAUGCUAUUGAAGACGUUGCAACAUAUGUCGGGGAGGCCUCCGUUGAUUGUGUACGAACAAAAUACGAGUCCAAAGGUAGGGUCAGAAAGGGUUUAGCUAAUGGAGAAAUGAACUCUUCCGAAAACCAGUAACACGUAAACCAUGUAAAACCAAGACCGAUCAAUAUCCGAACGGAACGGAUUCGAACUUCUCCUAGAAUAGUAUCCGAUGCAAUAUUCCAUUCUAAUGAGUAAUUCAAAGGAAAAUGGGAUUCUAAAUAAGGCAUGUAACAAAAAUGAAUAGGAGAAUUGGAUUGUAAAUGAGGGAAAUUUAUGGUAAAUGAGGCAUGUAAGAGAAAUGAAUCAUUCUAUUACUCCUGUACAAUAACGAAUAAGUCAAAAGUCCUACACUCGCUGACUUCACGUCGACCUAAAAUCCAGUAGUUCACUCCUGAAAACUAUAGCGGAAAAGAGAAAUGAUCCUAACUAUAGCAUCAAAGAAAAACGAACUAAGCCCUGCUAGCAAACAGAGGCAGAAACUCCAUUGUUGCUGCCGUUUUUUAGCUCGCUGCCGCGACACAUUAGUAGUGUCUUGGCCGUCUUACUUAGUUGCUUGGCCCCUGCUAGCAAACAAACGUAAGCAUCUUGAGUUGAGGCAUAAAAGCGGUAGUGCUAACGACGCAGACUUAACGUGAGUUCGCCGUUGUUAAUUAGAAGGGCAGUGUUGUUAAUAUAUUACAUAUAAGGUAUAUAAGAAGAAUAAGGUAGAUAAGAAAAACACAUUGAUUCUCUAACUUAGUAACAGAACUCUUAAGUGUCCAGAUUCCAUAAUAAAGAGUUACCUCACACAUAACAGCUAUAGAAGGGGAAACUAGAUUCUUACUAAAUAUAGAAUAUAGUAACAUCACACGUUGCUCCGAAACGGACUAUUGACCUUUGAUCCACUUUGAGACUAUUCUAUGUUCAACUCAUCAAAUAGCUAAUAAAGAUUGUAGGAGUCGGAUACUUGACUUUAGAUAAUUGUAUAAUAUAAAGGAAGGAUAUAGUAUAGAGUGAGGUUUUCUUCUUUAGCACAUUCAACAAGCAAUGGAACAAGCAAGGGAACAAGAAGACAAAGUAAUAGCAGCGGUGGCUUACUAACGCGAAACUUCUAUUUCUAAGCUUGUUGAGUCUCGCAUACCAUAUUGGAAGUAAGAUGAUAUUCAAUAAUAUGAUAUGUGGUCUGGUGUCAAUCAUAUUCUUCUGCUAUUGCUGAUAGUGCCACAGUAUUGUAAGUUGAACAGUAAGUCCCCAUUUAUUGUAAUGGUUGCUCAAAGCAGUAUCAAGUUUAGUAGAAAGAAAGAAGCCACAUAUAUAUACGCAGUUAGUUAGUUUUAGCAAGUAAAGAAUCAGAUCCUUCUCUUUCAACUAGUUAGGCAGCUUCCUUUAGCGCCGACCGAGUCAACUCGCCAAAACGGAUAUAAACACCUAACAAAGCUUAUUAUUCGUUGCUUGUUCCUUUCUUUCUCAUCGUUGAGCAGAGGUCUGACUAUGCUAAUGGCAAAUCGGGUUGUCAUUUCCACUCUACUACUGUUUGACCUUAUUUAGAAUGACAUUUUUCCUAAUAUCUUUGCGCUCCUCCUAUGAUCUUUUAUUCAAAGCGCUCUUCCUAGGUACACGAAAUUCCAUUCAGUAGUUUGUUCCUAAGUGCAAUAAAUUCCAUUCAGUAGUUGUGGGGUGUGGGGUUACUCUAUUCUAAAGUCGGGGCUUUCGCACAAGGGUAGGGCAAUAAUCUAAUUAACUAACGACUGGAACAAGAAAGGGCGCACUCGCUAAUGUACCCUGAGAUUAAUAGGUGUUGAGUUUACGCUUUUCAAUACUAUGCGAGAUUCCAUUUUCUGAUUUAUGAUUCUUUUGUGCGUUAAUUGGAGUUAGUUGAGUUCCAAUCUUAAGCGUUAGGGAGGGUACGGGAUAGUGGUGCCAAUAGUCUAGUCUAUAUUCUCCGCGGAAGCAAUAAGCAUUCCAUUACGGAACUCAAUAAGCAACGGAACAUGCCCUAUAGCUGAAAAGAACUCAACAUGUGGAGAACGAGCGUAUCUCCUUGACUCCCCUUUAGACUCAUGGUUAAGCUGUCAAUCAUACAAAGGUCCAAAAGUCACCGCUUCUUCUCUCUAAGACAACAAACAAGCAGUGAGAUUACUUUUUGAAUAUGAGAAUAUAGUAUUAGUAAGACUGUAACUCCAACAAGCAAUAGCGCAAAAAUGAGCAAGCAAGAUAAGAUUCAGUAUAAAGAUCCUCAGCAGAAGAAUUGCCUGUUCAAGGUCUCAGUCUCAACUCUAAAGUGUCAAGUGGGGGGAGUUCCAGAAGCCUAAUAUCCUCUCUUUUCUCGUGCAUAAGUAGAAAGUGAGUCAACAACAAUCGGUUCUUCAAGUCGAAUUCACCCUUCUGCUAUAACACUUAUUGAAAUCAAGUAAGCUGCAAGUUCAGUUGAGUUCUUAGUUUCAGCUUGUCCCGGUAUAGCUCGCAGGUUUAGUAGGGUGGAAAGUGGAGUCUAAGUUCUUGGCUUUCACGAGUAGAGUAGUGGUCGGUAUGCCAUUAGUGGUGGUCGGUAUGCCAUUAGCAGAGUAACACAGAGAACAGGUCUAGAGACGAUCAAUCUGGUGUUCAAACCUUAUUUGCUCUUGACUUCUUAUGCGCUAAGUACUUCAGCGGUUGAGUAAUAGUCUCCUUGUGUGCGAGGAUAUAUGGAAAAAGUCAUUAAUAACAGAAGUAUAAGUAAACGAGGAUAUAUAGAAAACUAAGUCAAGUAAUCAAACAAAAAGGCAGUAAAGGCGGCUUAGGAAGAAGUUGUAUUAGCCCGAGAGGCAAUAGCUGGGGAAUAAUCCAAAGGAAAGUCAGCCUUAUCGGUUAGGUAGUAAUUCCUUGCUAGCGGCGAUAUUAGUCUUAUAGUUAACAGUGGGAUCCCUUUUCUUUUGUGUCAACUCUCUACUCCUUUAUUGAUAAUGGCAAGUAAGGAGAGCAGACCUGGGUUCGUAUCUAAGGGAACGAAAGCCAUUAAAGUCAUACUGAUAGAUGGGAGAGUCAUACUUUACCUAAGGAGUGUGAGGCUGGAGUCGCGUACACAGAGGCAAGACCCCCGCCCACAACUAAAGAAGAGAGGAGGUAAUCGGAAGACUACAAAUCAUAAACGAAAGGCCUUAUCACAGGUGGGUAAGUCACUCCAUUACGGAUUCUGAUUCUUGUGUUGGUUCUUGUGUUCCCUAUGCCGAUGGGGUUGGUGGAUCUGAGCCCCUAGGAACAUUCCCCGCUGCGUAUCCAGCUAAUUCUAUAGUUCAAAAGGAGUCAUUCUUCUGUUUGCAUUGCCUAUACGCCCAGGUGCUUUGUCUCGCCCGUUCCUCUACUAUACUAGGAUUAGAUGCGUUUGUGUCUCACCUCUCCUCUACUAGAUGUGUGUGUGUCUCGCGUGUGUGGGUGUGUUUUUCAUAUGUCUCUAAUGUAAGAUGCGGUCACACUCCUUGGGUGCGCGCUCGGUGCCAUUGCAGAAUCAUUGGUGCAAAAGCAAAGUCAAGUAAUAAGUAAGUCAAGUAUAUAAUAGAAGAAAUAAUGGAUUACUAUAUUAUAAGAGAAUAGAAGAGAGUUGGCACUGCGUAAGCUAUCUUCUGCAUUGAAUUCAAUUAGUAAAGGUAAGGCUAGAUAUAUGCGCUAUAAGACAUUGAGUGGUAAAUAUCGGAAUUGGCAGCUGCCUAACAGACUGUAGCUACCGACUAACAAGAAUGUCCUUAAUUAGAACUACCUUUUCUCUUAUUCUUAUAGUUUGACCUGGUAUUCCUAUUGGUACUCGCUUGGCUUUCAGCACCUCGGUUUCAAACUCAAACUUGCGCUUCUGGUACUUUCGCUGGGAACUUAGCCCUUAUUUACCUAUAUGUUAGUCUGACAUUCCCGCCUAAAAGUAUGUAUUGAUGGGUUUAGUACCCUUCUAUUGGUCUGGCAUUCCUCCCCUUAUCUCGAGCUUAAGCCAUCGGCAGCUGACGCUGCCCUUGAUCUGAGUACAUAUCGUAUGGUAAAUCAGAAUUCGACUAAGUAGUAACAGAGUUAGCCUCACGCAUAGGCAUUGAAGGCAGGAAGUUUGUUUGAGUUGGUAGCCAAAGAUAGAUGAGAAAUCAUAAAGCCCGGGCGGGGGUCCGACGAUUGCCCCCGGAAGGAUUACGUCCCUGGCUUGAAGGACUAUAGCACAGAAAAUGGUACUGAGCAUGGUAGAUAGCUUCCUACCAUUACACUUGAGAAAGCCAGUAACAAGAUCGAGUAUGGGUAGCGCUUUAACAUAACGUCUUUUCUUUCUUCACCACGACCCAGCUUCUAUUGAAUAAGCGUAAGGAGAUGUCGAUGAUGAAUAAGCGUAGUAAGGAGAUGUUGAUGAGGGGAUAAAAGAAUGAGCUUUGGUUCAGAGCUUGAAUCAGUAUAUCCUGAAGUAACUCCAGGUAAGGAGUUCAGCUAAGCCGGAAAGAAAGAUCGAGUUUAGUCUCUGGAUUGAAAGAAGCAAGUCACAGACUAAUAGCCGGGAAGACAGAGUGGAAAGGCGGGAUAGUGAGUUUGAAGCUAGAUCAGUGCCCGGUGUGUUAUAGAAUGCAAAUAAGUAGUUGGUUUCCGAGUGACUUGUCUGGUCUCGUACGCUAAUCAAAAUAGCUCCAAGUGGUCUAGUACGUAAAUGGAAAUAGUAUCGACUGACUCAAAGAGUGGAGCGGCGCCUCGACCAGUUGACCAAACUUAUCCGAUUAUUCUUUUGCUGUAUAGUAUAACUUCUUUCUAUUUGCUUUUGGAAAUCCGGUGAAAAACAUAGAAAUAUGGCGAUGCGUAACACAUGGUUUAUUUCAACAUGGAUUGAACCCAUAGAUAGUAUGUUGUGUGCCGGGCCGGUGACUCAUUCUUGUCGUAUAACCAUUCAUUCCUCGAGUAGUUAAGCGCACUCUUAAAGUGACAUCAAUUAGUCUGUUAGCGGACCACGCUCGUUGAUACCCAAGUCAACCAUAUUAUAAGUAUUCGUAGUCAGAGGGUAAUUGUGCAUUCUACUAUUAUAAUAAUCGAAUAGAUGAGUGACAAAGCACAUUCUCAAUAUAAGUAGGAAAAGACAGGUUAAGCCUAGAGAAGAGAGUAGAGUAGUGUGGAGGAACUGAGCAUACGAUAGAAUCACGCGCAUUAAGGGCUACUUCUGCUAGGCAAUCAUUUUCUAUUCUCAUUCAUUUGUUUAUACAAACAACCUAGGCCAACUUUUCAAUCGGAAAGAGAAAUGCUCUUCUUAUAGCCGACCCAUAACGCCUUAAAUGAGAGGGCGGCCUUCUUAUGUUCCUUAUUCCAACUAGAAAGUCACCCAAUAAGUAAGCCGAAUCGAAUGAAUACCCACGGAACGGAGUAGUGUUUGGAAGACAAUAAUAUAGUACUGGCAAUUAGUCAUAAGCAGGAUCUGGAUACGGGUCAUCAGAGGGAUCUUAAGCGGGAGAGUCAAUAAAGGUGGUCUCAGUUUCAAGAUCCUAAGCAGUACGGUAUCAAGCAGUUGGCGCAGCAGCAACUCAAUUAUGAACUUAAGGUGGUGUUCGAGCAAGGAUCUUUGCUUUGUGGUUGGGAGUGAGUGUUUAGGCGGGGGGCUCUCUAAGAAUGAAUGAUGUAAGUGCUCCUUCGUUCAUAGCACGGAGUGAGAUGUCUAUGUGCCCACCUGAACCUACGUACGUGUCAAUCAAGCAAGGCCAUUUUGCUUUUUGCCUAUGAUGCCAUGCCUGCUCUGACUUGCUCUAACUCUCGUAGCUAGUUCUUCAAUGCCCAUAUUUUGUAACUCAAUGCCAACCAAUACUGAUAACAAGGCUACUAAGGCUACUGGAAAGAAUGCAACAAAGGCAUACAAGAACGAAACUAGGAACAAAGGAGAUCUAACUAUACUGUUAACAAGGCUCGCACUGCGGACUAAAAGCUAUAUGACUCAUAAUAGGGAAUCGACAUGGGAAAGCUGGACUCCAACUCAUAAGUCAGAAUCCAUCUACUAUGCCAUCAGAACCAAUCUCGAAAGAAAGAAAAAACCUAGUCAAACAGAGGGCUCUAACGGGCUUAACCUCACAACUAAGGCUUUAGCUGCUACUUCUCAUUCUUGAGACCUAAAGAACUAUUCCAACUUUGUGGGCUUACCUUCAUUCUAGACCGAUGAACUUAGCUACUACUAUGGAAUACUACCUUAUAGACGGGAAUUCCAUCGCUGCUAAUGGGAAUGGGGCUACUAGCUAUCAUAUUGAAACGCUAUCGCCUCUAACUCUUUCGAACUCUGUCGCUCCUUUCUCUCAGUAUAGUAUGCUUGUCACCUGUUUGGGCGCUAUGCUUAUUCCUAUUAUUCUCUUACAACUACUUGCUCCUCUCGGGCUCCGCCAAGCUACAUCGUACCUUAUCCUUAGAAACUUAGUUCAAUUCGAACUUGCCACACGCAGUUACAAUUCUGAACUUCACUUCUUUCACUGUAAACUAACCACUCCUCUUGAAACUUAACCUCGGCUCUUUUCACUAUCACUCGAACAGCAUUAACAACAAAUAAUUCCAAUAAUGCAUUUGAUGUUAGCGAGCUAUUUUCCUUUCUUCCUUACAACACUGUCACUGAUAGAGACUAUAAGCCAACUAGCACUGGCACUGAUAGAGACUCGUUGUCAACUAGCACUUCUAGAACUAUUCCUCUCAAGUCACUUGACUCUGCUACUUACUAUAAGGGUCUCUCCGUAGUCAACCAAUGAGGAAUUGCACUCAAAAGUAGGGAAUCAAAGGAAUAAUAAGUAAUAGGCAAAAAUCAUAUUACUUAGUAGUAUCAGAUUGUAAACCUCGGGACAGUAAGACAUCAAUAAGAGAUAAAGAAUGUAGUAAGUGGACUUAAUCGUUAACCUAGUAGGGGCAGGGGACAAGCUAAUGAUGAGAAUCAAAUCAUUGUUAAUAAGACCAUAGCUCUAAACUCACUCUUCCCCGACUGAACCAUCCAAAUGCUCUCUUGGGCACCUUACCUAUAUCUCUUUUGGAGUCCAUCUAUUGAUGCCAACUUCCAAUGCUACGCUUACUCUUAAACCAUACUAACUAUAAGAAUAGGCGCCUACUACUGAAUUUAGAGAAUGAAAACAGUGCUCCUAAACCUUAACUAGUGCGCGACAAAACUCUAGCUUAGAGAUGGGUCUUACGCCCAUAGCUAUCAAACCUAUAUUAUUUUCUCGGGUUGUUGUGGAUUAAUGAAGAAUUGGAUCUCUACUAAUGAGAAUGCAGACAUAGCUUUAGUAACUAGAGUACGAUCUAGUGCAGUAUAAGACUCCGACUGGGGCACAUAGGCAUUGAAAGAACAAGUACGGGAAUAGGAUAAGGUAAAUAUGGACUCUAGGGCGGGAUCAUAAGAAAGAGUCAGAGUUAGGAGUUUGUGUCGAUGAUGGAAUCUGUUAUCUUCUAGAAUAUGUUUGUUUCGUAGUAAGGCAGGGCGGACUGGUAGACAGGAAAGUGAGACUAAAAGCAAGUAGAUAAGGGGCUAAGUUCCCAGUGCAAUUCCUAGUUGACAUCUUAGAAGCAAUUGUUUCAGCCUAACAGUUAGCAGUAGAAUUCCCCGUCUUCGAGUUUAGUAUGAGACCUUAGUUCUCUUCUUAUGAGUUCGAUUCCCUUUCCUGCAGUUCCGUAUUAGAGGCAGUGGUUUAAGUUGGAAAGCAAAGAUCCGAAUCAGCAGUGAAAUCAGCUAGAUAGUAGAUAAGGGCCGAGCUCCCAGUUCAAGGUUUCUACUUAUUCCUUGGAUCCUGACUUUCGAAUUGACCUCUGCUCCGUGCGUUAGUGAGUUCUUACUGUAAGUUUGUCUAGUAGUUACUUGUCCGCUACCGCUGCACUCUUUCUGCUUUUUUUAUCAAACAACAGUCUAAACAACAGCAAGUCGUUUUUCUCUUUUCUCUAUUAAUUCCCGAGGUACUCCCGAAUGUGCGUUGACACUAACUGGUCGAGGGGACGGGACAACAAUAAGAAAUGUUCUCCCAGGGAAUAGGAAAUGUUCUCCCAGGGGAUCCUUAUUAAAUGCGGUUAGGGCGCUCGGUCUCUAAGUAACACAGCUCAUUCCUUCUGUGGGGCGUAACUGCUCACAGUCUUUUCGCAGCAUCGCACAGUCCGGAGUAACUAACGUGAAUUUCAGAAUAGAAUCAGAAGAAAGGGAAUUGCACAGGGCCCUAACGAGCUAGACUCAAAAAAGGGAACUACACCCUCAAAAGGGGAUCUAACCACGACUAACAAGCCCUACUCAACAGUAGCCGCGCCUUAUUUCCGGACUUGAGAACUCAUCCUUAUACCGCUCUGCUUACUAUCGGGGCUAGCUCUUUAGAAACGGCUUGUCAUAGCAUUGCAUAUAAAUAAGUAUUCCAUACAUGAAAUAAUCAAGUAAACAACAAAGAAAGCGGACUCCUGACAUAUUACUUGUUGAACUCAUAUUGGAAAAGGGUUAACUCAAACCCCUAAGAAAAAGAAGCUCACUUGUGCUCGUUGCUUUAAGAAAAGAAUUCAUAUCAGCAGUCGAGAACCCCUGAAACUAUAAAUGGGGCAAGGACAUAGGAGAACUAUAUAAAUGAAUGGGGCAAGGACAUAGGAGAACUAUAAAUGGGGCAGGACAUAGGCAGACUAAGUAAGCACUAUCCAAAAGUACAGAGGAACCCUUGACUGUUGAAUAAGUACAGAGGAACCCUUUACCUGUUGAAUAGAAUAUAGGCGCUGGUUGCUCUGAUUUCUUUGAAGCUAUAGUUUGCUUUUCCGCGAAAACUGGAACUGCUCCUCACUCUUACGUUAGCACUAAGUCGAGCGCCUCCCUGCUAACGCUACACAUUAGUCCAAACUCCUUUAGCGCUUUAGCUCACUGCCGCCUUAGGAUCGGUUUAGAGCCCAAAGCCUGUCCCGAUAGAUAGAGAUUGAGAAACCUCGGCUCACUUGAGUUCAAGCCUAUACCGUCGGAUAGGAGUCAUUCCCCUAAUCGGAUAGAUUGCCCAAGACUCCAUAACCCGCCUUGAAUCUCCUACUUUGUUUAUAGGCCUCUGAUAGACCCAAAGAAGAAGAUGUUGAUGAGUUGGUAUAGCUUUCCACGAUUUGCUCUUCCUCCCUGCCAUCCGACCACUUACAAGAUUCGAACUAAGCCUUCCUGUCAUUACGACCAUGCCACCACGUCUGAAAGAAUAGACCGGCCUACCGCAAAGGAAAGGAAUGGUUCCAAUAACCUGGCGUGGGACUCAAGCCUUAAAGAGCUAGGGCCUACAGUUAUUCACCUCUAGGUAAAGAAAGGAAGGGUGGGCUAGGAAUCUUUUUUUAGGCAUUGACAAGUUUCUAUAUUAAUAUAUAUAGACAGGGAAAUAAUAGAAAGAAAUAAGAAGGGAAAUAAUAGAAAGAAAUAAGAAAAAGGUGAGUCUAUCUCUUAUUAGAGCCUUUCCUCAGAGCCGGACUUAUACUGCUCUUAUAAAAGAAGUUCAAGGGCCCUCCUCUCAUCCGCGAAGCUGGGGUUUACAUAUAUGCUCAAAUCCCCGGCGUAAUGGUUACCCUCCUGCCUCCCUCUCCCGACUUAUUCAUUAGAGCGAGCUACUUCGACCCUCUUGCAACCUGGACUCCCUGGACUACUACAAUACUUGUCAACUUCAGACUCAACUAGGGAUUUCACUAAAACAGGUAAUUCAAAAGCUUCUUCUCAAACUUAGCUUUCUGGUUCCUUCCCUGAACUAAUUGAACUAGUUUACUUACCGCAACUCUUCAUUCCAAUACAAGGGGGCAGGGUAGUUCAAUCCAAUAAAUGCAAAAUUCGUGAAAAAGGAACUUCUCUUUCUCAUAUACCGGCUAAGUAGACACAAAGUAUAAUCAAAUCUAUAUCACUUUAGUAAGGAAACCUGAUGAAACUUGGGAUUAUUACUCUCACUCGAACAGAGAGAAAGUCAGCAUCCGCAGGGAAUGAGUUGGCUUAGAGUAUCCUUCUGCUCUGGUUGAAUCCCCAACAAGCAAUGGGAGAGAGGCGACCUAGUCUUAUACACUUACUUAUACAAAGGCAAAGAGCCAAGCAAGAGUGCAAAGAGGAUGAUAUUUACAAUAGCUCUUAUAGUAAGUUGUUUGUCUACUUUUAAAAGAGCUGGAUGAUCUUCCUUCCCUUCCUCGGGACAAACUGAAGUGAAGUUACCAACAAGAGAAGAAGCCGACUCACCCGCUCUUUCAAUUGAAACUAAGUAAGAUCUUGAUUCCCGCGCCUACCUAUCUUCACCAGACAGACGACUUGUAAGCUCACUGCCGGCAGUAGAAACUGUUAGUCUUAUGCCAUCGCUCCCUUUAGCAUCACAUUAUACAUUACUUGGCUUAAGGGCACAGGUAUUGUAAUAACAACUCCAACCAAAAUAGACUUGUUGUUGUUUCUUAUUCUAUCAAAAACAACUGCCGCUACACAUUAGUAGUUACUUGGCGGUCAUUAGCAGUUGUUUGUCCCGUUGUUUGGUCGACACAUUAGUAGUGUCUUGGCGUUGUGAAAUAGUGAAUUGAAAACCCAUAUAUGGGGGGCCUAAACUCUCAUAUCUUAACCUCUGAUUCCAGAGCGGAGUAGCAAACAAUUCCAUUCUCUUAUAGCAGACUUAGACCUAUACUAAGCCCACGGAGCGGUAAAGUCAAUAUCAAGGGAGUUGUGGCAAUCAGAGAUGCAGCUAGAUCAUAAGCAGUUGACAGAUCAGAAACAUCAGAAUUCGCCGAGGGUCUAUUCGAACAGUAUUGCCAGGCCCGGGUAGAGAAUAGAGUUGACUUCUGAAAAUCAAUCUUAUAUAAUAGAACAGCACUUUGUCCCGCAGCUUAGCUUGUUUAGGAGCCGGCAGCUUAGCUUGUUUCAUUCAGUCGAUAAACUCGAUAAAAAGGGCAGGGCGGAUUGAUAGCCAGGGUAGUUAGACUUAAUAGAAGCAGUGCCAGGCCUAAGGCAUUACUGGUGUGUUGGCGUGAGAGGGCACUUAUUGCUUGUUGGUGAAGAAUCCUUAUUAGUUGGCGAGCCCUUAUAGUAAGUUGAGGAAGCAAUGCCCAUUGAAGAUGCUUGAUCAUUGGUCCGAUUGAUGCCGACGAUAUCUUCCUUACGCCUAAGCCUAAUUCCGGUAUCAAAGACAUUGAGACGACAAACACAAGACAGUUGCAGUUCAGUAACAGUAAACUAGGGAUUGAACUCAUUUAUAAGAAAGAUAUCUGAUAUAAGAAAGAUAUCUGAAUUCCACUCAUAAGUAAGUAUCAGCAGAAGCUACAGAAUAAGUGGAAAGAUCAGUAGGAAGAUACCUCGCUUCCUAUCCAGCUCUAUCUGUACUGUGGGAGAUAGAUUGGCUGGCAGUUUCAUCAGUCAUCCUUUAAUAAGAUAAUAUAUAGAUGGAUAACCGAGUCCUGUGCCAAGUCCAGUGCCCUUAAUUAAUGGAUAGCUUUAGGCACUAAGUGGAGAGGAUAGAGGUGAGUGACUUACUUGAAGGUAUCUCCCUGACUGAGAGGGGCAGGAUCAGCUUGUAUAUAAUUGCAAGCGGACUCCUCAUUAAGUAGCAGCUAGAAUAGUCUAGGAAAGUGUUACUAAAGAACAAGAGGUAUCGAAGCCAGCAGCUUGUUUCAAUAAGUAUUAGUUUACAGACCAGAGAAGAAGAAAGGGAAGCAGUUAGUUGAUAAGCCUUAGGGAAGCAGUUAGAUCAGUGGAGAAACAAGCAGGUGUGAAAGGGAGGUUUGGGCAAGUUCAAUUAGAGUCGAGAGCACAUAAAUCAAAAAGGGAAGUUUACAAACAAAACUAGAGAAUUCGCCGAGGGGGUGCCGGGUACUUGGUUGGAAAGAAAGAAGUAAAGUACUUAGUUGGCAAGAAAGAGUACAGGGUUGGUUUCAAGGAACUGUAGGCUGAGUCUCCUCUCCUGGCUUACCUAGCUCUAGCUUAAGAAUUCCACUCAAAAGUAAGUAGUCAAAGGGCCAAGUCACUAAGCUAAGGUAUUAAUUCCCCGAGUCAGAGGUGAGCUAGUCAGAAAGGAGAGCUCUAGUUGAAAGAUAAGAAACUGAAUCCGGGUGCUAGUGCCACCGAUUCCCUAUGACCAGAAAUCUGAUAUGACUAAGAUAAGAAUUCAGAAUUGUUGACAGGAGCCUAAGCCUAGCCUGUAGUUUAUGAGUAGAAUACCUAGUUUAGUCGUCCAGUCUUGUUUCGGGUGUCAGGUAUUGUAUUAUAGAUGAUAGGCUGUUCGAGGUCAAGUUGGCAGUUUCUAGUUGCUAGUGGAAUUCUUUAGAAUGUAAAUAGUUGCCCGUGCCUUGGCGGCCGAACACAUCUGGAGUCACAACUCUACAUAAAUAUACUUGAUGAAGUUGAUUAUUGUAGUUGUCUUUGCGUGUCUUGUCCAGUAGUGACUUGGCCCGGUUUCUCUUUUUCCUUUACUACAGUAUACUUCCCAUCUGUAGCUUGAGAUCCUGCCCUACCUAUAACUGAUAGAUCUGCUCUGAUUGGAAUGAAACAACUAAAUAAAGAGCUAUGUAUGGUUCCCUUGCCUAGCGUGGAAUCGUGCUGUUAAUAAAUCUAAGUGAUUGUUGAAUCCCUAAGAUCAGAAGAAUGGCCUGUUCGAGUGUAAGUUGCAUCCCCUGUUUCCAGCCCCAACCAGUAGUAUAAGUAGUAUACGCGUGCCCUGUUACUGUUAUCAAGUCAGCCUGGGUCAGCAACUAGACAAAGAGUCGCCUUAGGUUCAAUUCGAACUUCCCUACUUUAUACUGCCUCCACAGCUUCUGCUUUAGUGGAAUGAUUUGUUCAUAGUUGCUUUAGAGGCUUAGUAGCCAUAGGUGUAGUUAUCAUCAAUAGUUCAAUCAAUAGGGAGAGUACCCUUUAGUUGAAUUCGUUGUAGUAGUUCCUUGGCUCUGGUAUUCCUGCUUGCGAGUGUUAUAGCUUAUAGUAAAAGCCUUGUUUGCAGCGUAUAGAGAUACAUAGGUGGAAUAAGGGUAGGCUAAAGGAACGAAUGCUAGUUUGAACCCCAGGAGAGGUAGGUUUAGAAGAGAAUAGGAAUGCUAAUAAUGGAUAUCAGUUUGAGAGCUAGGUGUUAAAAGAUACAUAUCAGUGUUUCAAGAAUCCGAGUUGGUUUGGUAUAGUUUAGUUUGGUAGUUAGUAGGGGUAGGCUAGCAAUCGAUCAUAGUAGUUGGAGUAAGUAAAGCAAAGAUCUGGAUCCGCAAGUCCAAGGCUCAAAUCAAGGAAUAGCGGACUUGGAGUGACUAGUUGGUUUAGUAGUUUAGGAGCGAAAACAACCUUAGAGACAUGAAAAUCAGAUUUCUAGUUUAGGGAUGUAGACUGGGAUUAAAGUAAUAGAAGCACCGGUUCCAGUCCGUUUGUCAGUAGUCGGGACUCCAGAUUGGCAUGGGUUUCAUUCCGAUAGGGCAGGGAGUGGUUCCUCGCUGUGAGUUCGGGCCUCGGUAACAGUGUUUUCAUUCUACUAAGUUUGAGGUUGAUUCUAUUAGUUGGUAGGCUGGGUGCGCAGCUAGAUCGUACCCAUAUUCUCUAUCUCUCUUUUCGUUAUCGUCUUUAGUAGAAAUCCUUAUUUACACUAGUUGUAUUAUGAAAAGCACUAGUUCAUUUCUGUAUUCUAAGGUGAAGUCUUAGACAGCAGUGCUCUAGUUCAUUUCUUUAUUAGAAGUCCGGUGUAUAAAUAAGUGAAUCAGUUGCCUUAGGUGGUGUUGUAGAAAGGAAGUAAGCUGUUCGCCCGAUACGAGAGUAAGUCGUUAGUCUUUACAUGGAUCUAUAGAACAAUGGUUUAAUAGUAAGCAGCAAGUGGAGAGUCAGGAGUUGAUAAGUGCGUUUCCAUUUCACUCUGUGUUGACUGAACGCUGGCCCUAACUCCAAUUCCAAGUUGAAAGUAUCGAAAAGGUGUUGAGUAUAGAACUCGGUAGUAAGAGUGAUAAGAGUCUCAAGUCUCAGCUGGAUCUGGGUUUGAUGCCCUAAGUCAAUCAUACGGGAGAGGUUAGAGUCGAGAAGUAGUUGGAGGUGAUCGGACAAAGUCGAUAAGAUCAGAAGCUGUCCCUGUUAAUUAUGUUUCUGCUCAAGUGUUGUCUCCGAGAGAAGAUUCCGUGGAAGCUGUGCGAGUGUCAUGUCAUCUACACGUCAGAAGCCAGAUAAAGAGCUGGAUGAGUGGCUAUUUCUUAUUCAUAAUUUCUUCAUCGUGUUGCGCGGCAGGAGCCUGUUGACAGAAAGCCAGUGCUCUGUAGGCAGGAAAGGGAGCUAAGGGAUUCUAGCCUAUCUUAUGUGUUUAGUAAGAAAACUGGUAUUCUAGCCGGAUUCCACAUCAUAAGAAAACCCAACUGUGGUAAGUACUGAGUUUAGGUAAGGGAGUGAAUUAGUUAGUACUGGAGUGAAAGAGUUAGAGGAGCCGAAUGAACUGUAGUAGUAGACUACGGUAAAGUAGCUAGGUUUGGGUUGGUGCUUACGCUCUAGUCAAGUUUACAAAGGUGGGCAAGGUAAGAAAGAGAAUCCGGGUUGGGAGUAUAAGUAGGGCUCCCUUUGCAUCCUUACUUACUAGAAACUCAUAGUUGCCAGCUGCUGAGUCGGGUGAUUGGCUUAACCUUAGUUGUCGUAGAGUUCCUUUAGUUGAAGUUGACAGUUGGCACCGAAAUAGUAGCUUGGUCUUGCUUUUAUAGUAGUAACUAGUAUACUUGUCCUCAUCUGCCCUGUUUUUUCAUUAAGAAGUAGGCCUGAACCAAGUCCUUUCUUCGUCGGCGAGCGGGGGGUUUAGUUCCUCAUUCUAUCUUACUGGGAUCCGAGGCUGGUGAGUAAGCUUUAUCAACAGAAUCCGGGUUUACAAGUCCAAAGUUGUUGUCAUUGAAUCCUGCCCGAGUGCCCCCCCUUUCCGAGAGACUUUCCGGCUACUAUACCUAUGACAAUUAAUCAAGUAAUUGCUACUAUACCUAUGGCUAUGAUCCAAGGAACUACUAGACGCCAAGACACUCAGCCAAGUAACUACUAAUGACCAAGCAACUACGUUAGACCAAGCCGGGCAAGCAACGACAACUAUGAGGGGUUAGUUCAAAGAGCCAGAGCCAGUAGGUGAGGUGAGCUAGUAGGAAACACAGAAUGCAACUCAGGGUAUCUAUUCUCCGCAUCUAUAGUAUAAGAUCCAUUGGUAUUAAUUCCAGGGUAUCUAUUCUCCGCAUCUUAAGAAUUCCACUAACUCUCUAUGAGGUGCUGUAGACAAAAGAAGAUACCAGGUGUUCGGUAUGAAACUACUAGAUGAUUUCCCCAACUAGUAUACGAGUAGUCAAGAGCAAGAAAAGUAUUAGUUAACAGAGGAGAGGCCCUUAUAGUCAGCUAAAGGAUGAAGGUAAAGAUCGGUAUACUUUAAAUAAGAAGAGGCAGACCAAUAGCCAUAAUAGUCAGAAUGCCAGGUUUCGUUCCUUUCUUUGUGUUAUAAACAAGUUCUUUGUUCGGCAUCCAAGGCUUAACCGAGGCAGCUAAGGUCUCUACCAAGUACUGCUCGGAAUGCGCCCCAUAAGUGACAGGCUGAUGCUAUGGAGUGACAGGCUGAUGCUUGGGUGUUACAGGCUGAUGCGGUGCCCCUACUAUGAUAGGCCUGCUGGUAGCAAGUAGUGAGAUUAGCCUCAUUCAGUUAUGAGAUUAGCCUCAUUCAGUUAUAUAUAUAAUAGAUGAGCAAGAUCAGAGGAAAUAUAUAUAAUAGAUGAGCAAGAUCCGAGGAAAGAGAAGAGGAGAUAUUAUCUAUUUGCUAUGAAAAAAGACGGGAAAACGCUAAAUUGUAAUUUCAAUCAGACCUUUCAGGAGGGAAACCAUGGUUGCUGCCCAAAAACACGGGGUUUCUUAAAAAAUGAAUGACUUUUUGGUUCUCUAUUAAGGGAAAUCCGAUUGCUAUCAAAAAUACCGAGAAAACGUGAAAAUCGAAUUGGAUUGGAUCGGUCCAGGAGGAGAAAUGCCCAUGCUAUGUUUUUUCCCGGGAAAACGCAACUCUUAUAGUAAUUAGCUCUCCCAACUUACUAUAGAGGCCUCCGCUCUGAUCUGGCUCUGUAAACUACUCCUGCUCCUGUUCCUGUUCGAAAGUAAGGUUAAGGCUUAGAAGGAAUGUAUAGGUCGGGUACUUGUGUUCAGCAAGUAGUAAAUAGAGAAGUAGUUCUGUUCACUUAAGUAAGAAAAGAAUACCAGUUAGCCGGCAACUCAUUAGUCAAAGAAUGGAAGUUUACUUCAAGGAAUAAGAAUGGAACGGUGUCUGCUCAGCCUGAUGCUUGGUAGUUAAAGCCUUCACUUCAACCAGUGCUAACUAGAAUGUAGCUAAUGAUACUCAGACUCCCCCUCCUGUGGGACUACUGGGACUUUAACCAAUGCUACUGAGACUUCAACCAGUACUCCUCAUAAUUGACCUAAGAGUUUAGCUAGAGAGGUGAGCUAGUCAUAAAGUCAGAAUGAAGCUAGUGAGGGAAAGAGCCAAGCAACGGGCACUUCUAACCAGAAUGCAACCCGAAACUAGGAAUACGGAAUGGAAGAAUUGAACUAAUAUGACAAAUCUGCCGAAGUAUGCCUAUUACUACUACUAAGAUCAGAAUGAAACUAAUUAGUACUAACAGAUGUUAUAGUGCAUUUGAGCCUACUAAUUGAGUAGCCCGGUAGUAAAGUUCUGGUUCUAAAGUCAGAGGUGGGUGUUGGCUUUCCCUUAUCAAAGUUGGUGCUACUGAUUGAGAGUGGUGUUCUACCUGUUCUUGUCUCAUAUAUAAGAUCAGCUCCCUCUGUUUGCCUAGUUCUUGUUUCAUUCCUAUACUUCUUAGUGUAGUGGGAUGGCCAUAGUCUCAUGCUUUCCAGUUGCAUUCUGUACCUGUCUUAUGCAACACUUUCUACUUUACCAGAAAGAGACUCGUUGCCAACAAGCACUUCUGGAACAAGACUGGAAGACUCCACUAGGGAUUCUAACUAUCACAAGAACAGGACUUAUAGUCAUUUUCUUCCACUCACACUCGAACAGGAAUUGUAGGAUCCUUUAUUUCAAUGUCCUGUAAACUUAUAUUGAUCGCUGCUGGUGACCGGUUUGAUCAAGUACACCGGAUUAUGUCCAUCCGCUGUGACCUCUCUGUGCUGCUCCCAGUCGGGCAUGAGUCAAACAGAAGGUUGGGUUGUUAACAGAGCAGAUGGGAUCAAAGCUAUUUUCCGCAGAUUUGUGAAAGAAUUGAAGAGACUAUUGCAAUCCUCGGCUGGCUUUCCGAAACUGGCUAAUAAGCGCUUUCUCCUUUAAUGGAAAAAACCAAUUGCUUUGAAUGAUAUCCUACUACCAAGGAAAGCGUCGGGUAAGUGGGGUCCGGGUCAGUCUAGACCAGGUGAGUUGAGGUCGGCAGACAAUAAGAAUAGAAAGAGAGUAGACUGCAGACAAUAAGAAUGGAAAGAGAGUAGACUUCAGAAUCCAAUCCAAUCCAAUGGGAUGAAAAAAACAAUCAAAUCACAAAUUAGAAAUAUGAAAAAAAGCAGAAAACUCGACGAAAACUUGACUUGCUCAUAACAGAACAGGAGCAGCCUGCCGCGCAACUAACUACGUUGCUUGGCCCAGUCUGCCAACACAGUAUACACAUAGUAUGGGAAAUUCGCUAUCAAAAUAGCUCUUCUUUAUAUAUAUAGGAUGACUGCUAACAAGACUUAAAGCAAGGGUAGCUAGACUUAACCAAGGGAGUGACAGACCAAAAGGAAGAAUAACGCCCCUACUGACUCAGACUGAACACCCCCAUCAUCAGGUAAAGACUUAAACUCGUAUGACAGGCCUAAAGAAGUGGGUUCGGGUGCUCGUCUUAAGCUUAGAACAAAUCGAUGAAAUCUAAGAAUUGACCUCAGUAGUGAAAAGGGAAGAAAGAGAAUCCCCAGUGCCAGUACCAAACAGGACUAAGACUUAAACAAGGUAGCCAAAGAGUAGAGCUAGUAAGGCAUAGGACGCAGCUGCCUAAGAUCAGACUGAAACGAGGGCUACUCAGAAUGGGGUUCGUAGAUGUAAGGCUUGAAACCGUGGGCACCAACCUUGGAUUACAUAAUUGACCUCGGCAGUCACAGAACCAAACAGGGAAGUGCAAGCCUGAUACGGUGUCUAGGCAGACUGACACCACCGCUAACCAGGCCAGGUGCUCUCUUUCUCUCAAGUAGUAAAGUGAGAAUCAAACAAGGUAGUUACAGACUCAAACCCCUGCUAGGCAGGCUCCAACCGGUGCUUCCAAGCCUUAUAUUGGUACUGCUCGGAAUGCACCUAAGGUGUCCAAGAACCAAAUCGCUGCUAACAAGAUUGAAACAGUGACGUAACAGCCUGAAACUAGUAAAAAAGAGACUAAGACAACAGCUACUAAGACUUAACCAGAACCACUGGAAUUCCAUAAGAUAUAAGAGAACAGAUGACACUCGGGAAAGCCUUUCACUCCUAUAGCUAUUAAUAAAGAAUGAAACCAUAACUGAAGUAGACUCAUCACCAACAAACACAGACACAGAUUCAAUUAGGGAGAAAACAAGUAAGCUCCCUUCCGCUAGUGCCACUUAUAUAUUUGAUAUUUGCUCCUACUCCUGCUCUGCUGUCAACUAAUUACAUUCGAAACUUCAAUACCAGAGGAUAGGUCGGAAACAGUUAGAUCAGUAGAGCAAGCAUAGGUGUUUAAGCAAGAUUAUAGGAUUAAUAUAAGGUAAAGUAACAACUACUACGAGGGUUGAGUUCAAAAGAUGAAUAGGGAUAGAUCCAGUGAGAUGGGCGAGUGAGGUGAUAUAGAGAAAUUGAGAUGGGCGAGUGAGGUGAUAUAGAGAAAGUUGCGAGGGGGAGUUCCAAGAGCAUAUAAGUUUCAGUCGAGGAAGAAGAGAGGCCUUAUAGUAAGUUCCGGUUCAGGGCAGAAGAAACUACUAAUGAAAUGUGUAGCGGUAGCGAGUUCAAAGCGUUAGUCCGGGGGGUCCUGUUGCAUUCUGUAUUUCGAGUGGAGAGAUGUUGGGUAUACACCAGUAUCAAGUCGAGCUCCAAGUAAUCCUUUGUUGGUGCUCUAGCUCUAAGUCAUAGGGAUGGUUUUGGUAACCAAGUCCUGUCCUCGUAUAUGUCUUCACCCUUUCAGACCUGCUUGUUAUGUAAACUCUAAGAAACUCCCUUCCCGUUAGUGCAGAGGAAACAAAUACUUCUUUUAUCUCUCGAGUACCAAUGAUAGAAUUCAGUGACCUUUAACUGCGGAAGAUCUUGCUGAUUGAGCCUAUGCAUCCAUGCUGGGGUCCACGGACCGAAGGCUCCUUACUUAGUAGAUUUUAGUGAGCUACUGCACUCCAACUAACUUAUGGUUCUCUGGUUGCAGCUCUCUUUUCUACUUUCUUUACGCUCAGAUCUGGCCUCACUCGACUCCGUGUCCCUAUAGGUCGUUAUUGAUUCCAUUGCCCACGCUUCCUGGUUUGGUUUUGAUGGCUUUAGAUCAUCUUAUAUAACCUAUACUUAUUGCCGCACGUAAGGCAUAAGCAAGGAUUUGGAAACCAGAACUCUUUCCCUGUCACUACUAUAAGGAGCCCCGCACGAUAGACUUCUGAAAGUGGAUUUUCAACAAAGCCGUGUAACGGACACCUCUUUUUUCGCUUCACUGUAUGCUCAUCCAAUUGGAUCGGACUACUCACUCGACUAUAAAAAGAAUACAUAAUAUCCGGUCACUUUUAUUCGACCGGGAGUCCAGGAAAGAUUAUCCAAACCAGAGCCUUAUGCAAUACAGCUGUUUCCUGCCGACUGUGUGUCCACCUUUUCAGAACCCCGGAUAUUGAGGUUUCUUUUCCAAGGUACUCCGUAGGCUUACGCUCCUCUCCUAGUCGUAUAGAGAGGUUAUUGUCGGCAAUGAAAUUAAGGAAUUCGUUGGACUGUUUCCCAGUCAGAAGAAGUUCAUUCUACCCUAUAAAGUGGAAAGUAAGCAGCAAGCGCGGGAAGUCAAGGAGAAGUCGGAGUCAACGCGCGUGUACUUUCAUUUCAGAUGGGUGGAUUGAGUGAAAGGCUUUCCCCCCUUGUCGGGUGCUUGGCUUAGUCCAUUUGAAUAGGCUAAAAUGAAUGGAAAGAGCAGCUGCCCAAUAGGUACAUUUGAAUAACAAGUGUUCCAGGUUUCGGGGUAUAGACCCAGUAGUGGUAAUCAGAAUCAUAGGAUUGAUCCGCGCGUAAGGAAAGUGGAAUUGAAGAAUGGAGUUUUUCAUGCAAAGGCGAAAAUCUGGUCAGCAUCAAACGGUUAAGAAAGGAGAGGUAGAGUUUGUAGAGUUAGAGUUUCAUCCUAUCCUAGUGCGAGAGUGUUUAAGGGAGAAUCCAUACUGCUGCUGCCCACGGAGCGGUCAAGUCUCAAGGAAACGUAGCGCAAGUAAAAGAUGGAAUUCAUCCCUCAGCGUUAAGUUAAGUAUUGCCUGUUCCUGUAAGAUAAUAUGCUUGAUCAGUAUCGAUGGGAAUUGCACGAUGGCGAGUUCUUCCCGCGCCCUUGCUUUUGUUUUAGUUAUACCACGAAUAGAAGAAAGAGAGCAUUCAUAUUAUAUAUGAAAUUAGAGUCACCUUACUGUUUCCUCCGCUAGUCCUGUCAUGUUUUAGUCAUCGGGAGCUGCUGCGGAUUCUCCUACAGCAAAUCUGGUUCUUGUUCCUGAGAUGUAUUCUGGGCGGUAGGAGCUAAAAGCGCUAAAGGGGUAACAUUCACCUUAAUGGCGCUUCAUAGGAACUCAACAGUUGGCUCUUAACCUAUUAUUGUUGGCUCAUCACUCACUUAUUACUGCUGCUGGCACAAACACACUUAUUACUCUCCACUCUAUAAGCUCACUUCUUUCUUACUUAAGUUACGGAAUGGAAUUAUUGCUUCCUUGUUGAAAUUACUUAUAAGCUAAAGGCACAGCCUAACCCUUAAUAGACUGGAGUAAAGAAUUAGCGCCCUCCCCACACUUAUGGAAUUCCAUUUCCAAUAGAAUCUAGAUAGCAACAACAUUCCAUUUCAACAACUCUCACGUAAGCACAACGUCGCCAUUGUUUGUUAGACCCUGUUCCCUAAUACUAAUUAAUCUUAUGGAGCGGAACCCUCUGCCCAACAUCUAAUUCUAAUAUAGGCACUUAUUUGAGAUAGAUUCCAUUAUUUCCCUUCAUGGACCUAAGCUAAGGGAUAGCAGCCGAUAUUAGUUCCAGAAGUAUAGUUAGAGUCAGCAGUCUGUAGGUUUGUUACAAGAUUCUAUAAUAAGGUGGUGCACUAAAUGGAAAUUAAUGAGUUGCGCAAGAAGGAAUGAUUCCUGGUUGACUUAGAGAUGGAGAUGGAUACUGAUCUGAAUUGAGACUCCACUAUCCUUGUUGCAUACUUUGGUUGGCACCGAUCCUAUUUCGUCGGCGUCGACAACACUUGCUCGCACAGCUAACUGUUAUAUUCGUUCCGUUGAGCAAUAAGAUACGGGUUUUCUAUCAAACGGGUAAUUAUGUAAGAAGAGGUGUUGCUGCAGACUGGACUUUAGCCUUAAGUGCUCCGGUGGGUAUUCAUUCAGAAAGAGAUGAUCUAUACUCUUCACCUCUCUCCACUCCGCUGCGGUUUCUUUCACUUCCAUAGUAGCAUGGGGCUCUUAACCUUAACAACUUAAGUACGUACUAAAGCAAAGGCAGCUUUCGGUUUCAUAAGGGGGCAAGGUAACUACAAGCUAUCAUCGCUGUCUUAUAUGGAAGGGGCAAUGCAAUAAAAUAAGAUAAGUCGUUCAAUCUCUAAGGCAGGUUAGGUUCUAUCUUCUAACAGACGUGUCCAAAGGUCAAAAAAAGCUCCUUUCCUCGCGACGAUACGAGCCCAUCUAAAGCAGCCCUUUCCUUGCUUCUAGAGUGAGCAGCUUUUCCUUUUUCUUUUCCCAGGUGAUUUCUUUUCUCGCCUUGCCUUUCUUUGAUAUGUGUGUUCAAUUCCAUAAGUCUAAUCAUAAUCAACAAGAACAAGGUAUCCCGAAAGUAAUAGGUCAGCUUCACUUACAGGAUCUGGUACCAGCUUUGAAGCAAGGUGUACUGAUUAUUCAUAUCUUUUAGUUCGAGGAAUCAGAAUCAUAAAGUGCCGCGGUUGAGUGAAAAGAUCAUGAGAAUCCGCAGUACGAGUGAAGUCGUCUCAAGACAAGAAGAAGAGGUUUACUUAAGCAGUUAAGUCGUUGCCUUGAACAAGUCCUGUUUUCUUUCGUCUUAAAGGAUAGGAAUAAGAAUAGAUAGGAAGAAUAAGAAUAAGUCUAAUUGGAUAGGAAUAAGAAUAAAGGGAAGCAAAGCUGUGUACUUACUUGGAUUUUCUGUUGGAGCACGUAGGAAUGCCGAUCACUACAUAAGCCGCUAGCGGAGAAAGCUCUUCCUUCGAGCUUCCCUUCAUUUGCUUUACGGGAGUCGCACACAACACAUAGCUGGAAGUCAGAGGACCCUUUGCUUUGCUCCGAGGUACCUCCGAACGGAAAGCGCCUUCUAAUCCACUUGGCAGAAGGGAAGGGGCCUAUAAAUAAACGGGAAGGGAGUAGUUGACUCAGGCAGGAAGGGAGUAGUUGACUCAGGACUAAAGGUAGGCGCUUAAGAUAAGAGAUAUGUUGUCGGGCUAAAGUUAGGCUCUAAGAGAAAAGAGCUAUGUUGUGGGACGAAGCGGGAAAUUAAUGAAAAGUGAAGUGGAACUCGGUGUCAGGAAGGGAAGUAGAACUCGGUGUCAGGAUCCGUAGCUGUAGAAAAAGCUUUUCUUGCCAGUUAAAGUAUACAGUAGUUGUAAGCGGUUCCUCAAGGUUCUUCAAGUAGAGCUAAAAAGACCUACUUCACCGUCUCCAGUGCGACUUAACCACGGAUUUCGAUCUAUUAUUUGAUUAUGUUAUGACAAUUCAUUUAGAUCCAUGUUAUGACAAUUCAUUUAGAUCCAUUAUUAUGACAAUUCUUUAUUACUAUUACAUUCUAUCCAAUAGAGUCGCCUGUUCCGGUUUAUCCUUUUUGAGUCUGUAACUGAUGACCUCUAACUUACCUGCCUUGCGUAACUGAACGGACUUCCUCAUCUAACUUACCUGCCUUGCGUAACUGAACGGACUUCCUCAUACGAACCUAAACAGCUUAUGCCGAAACGGAAAGAGGAGCGAGCCGAUUCCGAGCCAACUUUUCACCGUGCUGCGUCUUUUGCCGAGGUUUCUUUAGCGCCUAACUUUAUUGUCUUGAGCGCUAGGGGCUACCUUGUCUUUAGCGAGGGACUCUGGCUUUUCUAGGGAAGGGAUUAGUCUAACUGUGCCAGGCGUAGCUGACCCGCUUUCCUACUUGAAGUUGCUAAGCAGAUCCUUCAGAUUUCAUUGCAUUUUCUUAAGAAUGAUUACUCCGAUCAGGCAUUCUAUCAUACCAUUCUUGCAGACUACUUUUAGAUUUGAUAAGGUUUGUUUGUGUACCAGAAUAGUAGACUAUUGUGCCUACCAAAAGGGGAGGAGUCGGAUCCUCUUCCUAGCCCUAGUUUGAAAUAAGGUUCGCCUUUGUUAGGCCCUUUUUUGUAGUCACCGAUCUUAGACCAAUCCUCUUCUGCUUUAUAUUGGAAAAAGUAGGGUACAAAGUGAAGCCGAUCUUGUCUAUUUCUGUGUUUUAUGUCGGCUCUUUCCUCGUCGGCCCUCAAAUGAAAUAACUCGUUCCUUUCAUCGAAUCCCUUUCGGGUCCUUGAAAACUCCCUGGAAUCGAAGACAACUCCUGCGAGUCUAGCUAUACCGGUUUAGCUUCCCUUCUGAGUAGCUGCUUCUAUUAUAGGAAGAAUCCCUUUGAUUUCACCCUUUCUAUAACCACCCCUACGCCUGAAAGCAAUGCCGUUCACUUCUUUUCCCGUUCCAGGCUGCUUCCUUCUUUUCCGUGUUAUCGGCUCUGGAGGCCUUCCUCACGUACGCGCUGGCGACGGACUCUCCUUCUUCACUUUUGCGCAUUGUGUUGUGAAAAGCAGAAUACGCUUACUGCUUACUCUUAUUGGCUGGUGUAAUGUCUCAAGUCAGUGAUUCAACUGCCGUAAUUGAACAACUUCCUAUUCACCUUCAGGGUUAGUCCAGUCAAGUCAGCUACUCCUUCACUGGGCCGCAAACAGUAGAAUCCUUUGCCUUAGGUUCUUUUAUUCCAUUCUAAAGGGGCAAGGCAAGAGAGAAACACUUUUGAUUACUUUUGCUAGGGAGCCUGCUUUCUAGUUAUACAAAGACUGGGCUUAUUGGGACAAAGACGGAGACUACCUGUUCCAAUAUAUCGUAUGCUACUACCUGUUCCAAUAUAUCGUAUGCUACUACCAGUAUAGGCACGCACUUCUAAUUAGCCUGGCACUAAAGAUGGCUACACUGGGCUGAAAGGAAAGAACUUGCUUUUAGAACUCUCUUUUGAAGAGCCUGCUAUUCCAGCUUCAAUGCCAGGUAGAAAGUAGCAAGGUAAAAGGAACUCCAAUUUCCAUAAUACUAUUUUGCUCACUUUCCUUAAGUAAUCAUCUAAGGCUGGCUGCUGGAUUGACCUUUUCUGCCGGAACUCGUGCUUGAGAAACUCUUCCUUCCUUAGUUAAUGAAUAAAAAGGAAGUGGAAGUCUUCCCUCAGCAGAAUCGAUGAAUUAGCCAUAUAAAAGACCUUUUGAUUGGGCUGGAUGUCCAGAUGACAGACGCAGCACUAGUGGGUACAGUGUAUAUUUUGGUUUUCCUCUUUUCUCCUGGCUGGGGGGAGCCUCAAGGAAAAGCGCAGAUCGUCGAUCGGAUGGUAGAAUUAGAUCACGAAGCACCGGACUUUUGGAGAUAUCACAGAGAUGCCAUUAUUUCUUAUUCUAUUCUUACUAAAAGGAGGAUGGACUACAAUUCGCACAAGCUCUCUGAGAUGCUUUGUGAGUUUACUCGAUCGGAUGCCCACACGUCUCCUACUUUUCAGAAGAUGUGUGUUAUUCGCUAGAAGUUUUCUCAACUAGAUCAAGUAUUAGGUAUCUGGAAGUGAGUUUCUUUUUUCAGUGUCAUGUAAUAAAUAAAGGGAAGGGCUUCAUUUAGGAGCGAUCAGUUGUUCAUUCGGUAUUUUCAAAAGAAAGAAAUUAUUCCCAUCAAGACAGAUUAACGUAGUCAAGCCUGUAGGAGUAGUGAAGAACUAUAGUGCAGAACUAAGCGUUCUCGUUUGUUGGUUGUUGACUAACGAAGACAUGGUAGUAAUAAAGAUGCACAAAGGAAAGGAAGAAGGGCGGCUUCUUUGAUAGAUUCUGGCCAGCCCCAAUCUUUUGAGAAAGUAAAGUAGCUGAGUCUGUAACCUAUCUAAAAGAGAAGACCUUCAAAAUAGAGUCAAGUUCCUCACUCGCGGGAUGCAAAAAACUAGACAGUUCAGGUAACUUGCUCGCAGAAGAACUUCAAUUGGAUGAGGAUGGGCUUGAAGAGGACUAUCUAAGAAGCUAGUAUGAAUUUACCCUUGCAGACACACAUAAAAAGGACCUACUUAAAAGAUCGCAGCAAGGGAGGAUGGAAACUACUAGAUUGCAAUUAUAGAAAAGCUUGUAGUACGAAAUCUCAUCACACUUAAAGGAAAGGAGGACUCCUGCGGGCAUUGGCACUAUACCUGCCGGCAAUGGAACUGCCUAUAUCGCAUGCUUAUGGAUAGAUGCGCUUAGCACGCUAACAGACUAACAAUAGAUGGAAGGGCGAAGUACUCAAACAGAAUGUAUCCCGGUAAGCUUUCGCACUAUAAGCUGGCUUUCAAGAGACAGUGUAACCAUAUCUUCGCGAGCUCCUAUCAAAGCUGCUAUAUAAACAUAAAUCCCCGCCAGCUAUAGCCCUAACCAUCAGGAUGAGUUUCGUAAGGAACGAUGGAGCUAAAUCACACUUCUUUGAUAAGAGCACACAGGAUCGAGACUUGAUAGGAUAGGAACUUUUCCAACUUAGGCUUAGCCCCCAAUAGGGUCGCAUUUCCCACUUCAACUUCAAUUUGCUUUGCUCGCAGAAGACUUACAAUGACUCGCCAGCAGAAUCAAUCCUAGACUCUCAGGAGGGGGCGAGAAGUCAGAAUAACACUAUUAUACUAAAGAUGCAAGAACGAGAUCAACUGAACUGGCUAUAGGGGCUUCAAUAAAACCUUAUUGAUAGAACGACUAAUGUACACGUUAGGUUCACUUGGAAUGUUAGGGCUGGGAAGCUACGUAAUGGUAUACCGUUUGGUUAGGACUUUUCUGCCCGGUAGUAAGGAGAGUUGGGAGUUCGUUUUCAUAGUACACAUUAUUUAUUUUACUUUGAAUUAUACGAGUUCGUUAAGUAGAAUUCAUAAUUAGGAUAGAAUAUGGGAAGGGCACCGGGUGAAGAGGCUGGAGGCGCGCUGCUUAAGGGACUUCCCUCUCUCCCACUAAUCAUGCUAUAGACAUGGUUUUGUCAGUUUCCUGCUUUUUUCUCUUAGUUGAACUCUUGCUUGUUGCAGAAAUAAGGACCUAGUGGAUUCAUUCAUAUAGGGGAAGAAAUAAGGACCUAGUGGAUUCAUUCAUUAGUACUAAACCCGCGGCUCUCUCGUUCUAGACCUUUUUCCAGUCCCCUAUUCUUCCAUCGUGAAACCUUUAUCCCUGAGAUGCCCUGCCUUUCUUUUAUAGUAUAGACAAGUAAUCCAUUAUAGACAAGUAAUCGAUCCCGCCAUUCCUUAUUGCGCACUUCGGUGUGAAUAACAAUAAGAGCAAUCUAGAGUAGAUAAUAUAGUCUCGGCAUAAAUCCCAAAGGCCUAUAGUACCAGAAAAGACUUCAAAGAAGUGGCUCGUGGAACUGAGUUUUGCUAACCGCUUCUUGCUAACAAUGCUGUCCAAUGAAAUUCAUGUGUUUACGUCCUAUCUUCUGAGUCUAAGCCUUUUUUGUGUUAUAACAACAUAAGCCUUUUUUGUGUUAUAUAAAAUGACGUUAAGAGAAGAGAUUAUAGCUUUCUUUUGGUAGCUUUGUCUACGCAACGUGUUUUAACAAAAAAAGAAGUUUUCAAGAAGCGAAAAUAGAAGGGUUCCCCUAUCCGUAAGGUUCUUCCACAUGUGUCACAUUGGAAUAGCUCAACAACACUAGUAUUUCCUGUUCCAUGUCGACUUUACGACGAUGUCUUAUACAAAGGUAACCAUAGUAAUUGCCUAUGGUCAGCUCCUUCAAGUGUUUCGAAUCCCGAACUAGCUUGCUCUUUGAGGGACUUUAGUCGAUUGAACGGCACUCCGAUCCAGUAAGGACAUUUCCUUUUAUGGUUCUUCUUGCCACUCCUAAAUCAAUUUGAGUAUAGUUCUUCUUGCCACUCCUAAAUACAUUAUUGAGUUACCUAGCGUUGGACACAUUUUGUGAAAGGCAAAGGUUGGUUUGCUUCUCUAAUAGUUGCUCUUUACCUUUACUCCAUAAGAUGGGGCUUUUCCAUAGCUCGGAAGCGAAAGGCGAAAAACGCUCCUACUGUUGAAGAAGGCUUUCUGCCAGCUCGAUGCUAAAAUCCAGAGUGACCUAAUAAAGAAAAAAAGGUGAUUCUUAGCACUGAUACUCUAGAAAUCCGAAAUGGGUAGUACCUCCUACUAUAUUACUUCAAGCCAAAGUCCAAGUAGCUUCUUUUUCGAUGUCAUCAGCAAUUCGGAAUGAUACUUUGAUUCCAUCGAUCGGCAUUGCUCUCGGGGCUAAAUCUGACUGGUAACACCUAACUUUCCUAAUUGUACUGGCGCAUUCCCUUCCUAAGGAACCCGGCUAUCUUCUUGAUCUCUAUUAUCCCAAUGUUAAGUAGCUUUUCGCCCUUGCGUCGACUUGAUCCGGUUAAAUAGCCAUAUCCCUAGGCUUUUUGGAAAGUCAUAUUAUUUAUUACCGGGUGAAUAUAGAAAAUGCGUCAUCUCAUCUCGGGACUCCAUUUUGAUUAAGUCAAAUAGGUCGGUCGAUGCCCGGUUAUUAAGUCAUCCAAAGGGCGAUCAAUUCUUGCUUACUAGUGGAAAGACUAGCUAGAAUAGCACUAAUCGAGCACUAAUCAGAAAGCGACUACUACGCUCAUUGACGAUCCAAUAGUUGCUCUUGACCUUAGGUACCUAUUUCUCCUAGGCGUGCAACCUCUAAGCCACAUUACCCGAGCGACACUCUUUCUUCUCUGAAAGGGCUCCUUUGCGAAGCAUCCAAUCUUGCCUUUUUUCUUUGGGUUUCACUGGUGGUCAGUUGCAGCUAAAAAGCUGUCUAUUUCUCUAGUUCCCCACUCGUGUCUAACAAAAGUAGCUAUUGAUGAGAAAGUCCGAAUGUAUCUUUACCUGCAACGCUUGAAUGAAAGCAGCGCUUGGCCACCCAUCUAUAUUCUCCGCCUGAAGUGAGUGAUAGGGUUGUGUCAAAGUGUCACUUUUCAAGUAUCACCUUUCUUUAUGAAAUUCAUGGAAUUCCAAAAGCCACGUUUUAUUCGCCCAGGUUAAUCAAGUGGUAGUCCGGGAACCCAGAACCUGCUAUUUGACUUCGUAGAUAGGUGUAAGCCCCUUGUCCUUUGACAGGCGUGCUUCCGAAGCUGCUGCUCGUGGUACGGAGGCUUUCUUCGGGCUACCCGGAUGCCGCAACUACUUAUGCUUCCUUAAACGUUGGGCUAGGUCCCAUCCGAUUGUUGUCAUCUUCCCCAUCUCCAGGUGCUAUGGAUCCUCCAGGGUUGGUUUCGCGCUGACUCCUUACUUACUCUCUUGGAGCGGUGGUCAAGUCCUUUCUUCGACCCUAAAGAUGUUAGGCGUCAAUGCAUUUCUAGGUUCCUUGCUGGUUGUAAAUACACUGAUUCCCUUGCCUCACUUUAUCACUCGAAUUGGACUACCACUUUCUACUGGCUCUGUCUCUUUGAACUCCAAUUCAUGGAACCCUGCUGGCAUACCUAUGUCAACUAAGUAAGUAAGCCAGCCUAGCCUAGUAACUUCAUGAAACAAGUAAGUCCACUGCCCAAGCCUGCCCCUUAACGAGGCAAAACUAACCCAUAUCCGACACAAGAACACAUGAUAGGCAAUAGGGCACCUGUGACAAUGAAAGGGAAAGGCUAGAGAACAUUCUAAAUGAAAGGGAAAGGCUAGAGAACAGCCAAUGCUUUCUGAUUACUCUUAUUACUAGAUUCCUUAUUAGGAAGGCGUUCGAAAAGGAACCUCGGCAAAAGACCUCCAUCUCUCUCUGCUCAACUCAUCUUAUGGCUAAUCUCAGCUAACAACGCUUAUUCUCUCAGUAACAGUAAGUUUCGGGCACCGCUCUGCUUUAAUCAAAGGAAUGGAAAGCAAAGCAGCAGUAAGUAGACCGGUAAUGAUUGAGUCAGCAGUGAAAGGUUCUUUUGAGUUCAAAGCCCCCAGCCAUAUACUUUAUGAUUGACUUAGUGCUGUAAACCCAACAAGCAAACUCUAAUUAAGCGCUUACAGAGAGUUAGAUGCAAAAGAGUUAGCCGACAGAAACCUAUAGCUGAUGCUUAUUGUUGUUCGGAGUACGUUAGGUGCUUAGUGAGCUUUCCGGGGUGCAGUCCUGGGUGCAGAUCUCAUAUUCUUCAGGAGAGUGAGUUUACGUCCUUCCUUUCCGGAGUAGGAGUGGAAUUAAGACUUUUGUGCCCCUGUUUCCUACCUUGGAAUAGAAUUCUUUACCUUAUACUUUCAUUCUAAGUGUGAUACCAGAUGCGCUAUCUCGUACCUGCUAGAUCUACCCCUAUUCUUCUCUGGAAACUUUACCGAGCCUAGUCCUGAGCUCCUUUAGCCCUGAAUACUUGACUUGGGCCAAGCAACUAAGUAAGACGGCCAAGGAACAGAUAGACAAGUAGGCAAGUCGACAAGCAUAUACUCCAUAAUUGAAUGAGUAGGAGCUACCCUAUUCUUCCACUUAGUAGUUUCAUUCUAAUACUGACCUUGCCCACUUCUUUCCUUACCUUACUUGAGAACUGGAACUGGAACUAAAACCAGGUUAUGUUUUCGUAGAUGUGUUCCACUUUGGAAACCCGUAUACCUACGCUCUACACGGUAAGUAUAAGUAUUUCACUCCUGCCGCACACGGGCACAGGGACAGGACAGGUUAUCUAUAGGACACUAAUGACUUAAGGGCACAGGACUUUAGACAACACCUGACUUGAGAACUACAACUGAAGACCGGGGCACCAGUACUAGUAUGUUACUCACUUGUUGAAGUCUGAGUUUCGUUAGUUCAAUAGCUAGCUAGGCACCGCAUCAGUCUGAUUGUUACCUGUUUCAGGCUUAGUCAUAGCAGCUCGAUUCUCAGCGGCGCUGGGUUGGUUCUGUGACGAGUUAGUUGAAGCCUUGGAAUCAGUGGCUCAAUUCUCUAACUACCUAGCUCCGUCCUAUGCCUACCUGGACUAUUACUACCGGUAUGAAACUCGAAAAGGAAAGUCGACGAAAGAAUCAGAAGUGGGUACCACUCCCAUAAGAUAGAAUAUAAAUUGUAUCAGAAGCGGGGCCAAGUAACGACUACAAACACAGAUGAUACAGGGGAUGAAACAAGGUAUUAAACCAGAACAGGAACAGUAACAGGGACAAGCUACUACUAUACUAGCUCACCAAAGAAUUAAUGACUAUCCGGAGUUAUUGACUAUAUCUUAGUAUCGGAGUCUAGGUAAGUAUGUAUUCUUUCUUUAUAGCUCAGCAGAUAUAUAAGUCUUCCUUAAUCUACCUUUUUCUACCUUAGUAAUAGUGACCUUUUUAUACCUUAAUUCGGCUCCUAUUUGACUACUCGUACAGGAGUUGGGCAAGAAUAAGACCGUUAACCGAAGUAGGAAUAUAUUGAUUGAGGUCCAGUAUCAAGUAAAGGAAGUUUACUUAGGAAAGUCAGUUGAUAGAGCAGAGCCGGAUCCACCAGUAGCUGCAAAGUAAGGGCCCGUUCAAUUAGUAUACGCUUUGCCUAGACUUUCCACUGUCACUGGAUACUUUACUUAAUCAUCUGAUCUGGUCGACUUAACUGGCACAGCAUCUUUCUCUGAACUCUACUUUCGAGGCUCUCUAAGAUUCAACAAGAACAGAAAGAGACUUCGGGACAGAAGGAGACGAGACUCAUCUUGACUUCACGCUUCUGAUCCUAGAACAAGAACAGUCAAUUCUAAAGCAUCUAAUCCUGUUGAAGAUACAGAUGGAAAUGAUGUUUCUGUUAAACUGGAAUCUGUAUUUGGUGUCGGUUAUGAAAGGAGAGUUCGUCAGGGCACUAAAAGAAGAGGUUGAUCGGGAUCCAUAUAAGAAGUAUGGUGGUAAGCAAUAUAAGGAUCCGGACGAAUAGUGGUAACCAAAUCGGAAGCUGUGGAAUGAAAGUAUGGUUCAGGGGCGGAGGCAGUUCUCAAGUAAUCCGUGUUUGCGACCUCAGCUCUGGUUUUGAACACCUCUCUAACGUCACUUUCAUAACGUCACACAAGCACCCGACCUAAACUAUGGCUCCCGACCUAAACUCUGGCUCUGUACUCUUUACUAACAAACAAUACUCCGGCUCAUCUAACUCAAGAAAUCUACUUUACUGACUUUAUCAUCUCUAACACCCAGCAAGCCUACCCGACCCGGGUGAGAAACAGAAGCCUACCCGAGCCUAGCAUUGGAAUUCAAUAAGUCAGUAAACCAGAUCAGUGCAGUUCACCAGGCAAGUAACUACAUGAGGUUUCUCUUUUGACUACCCUACAAAGUCAGUCAACUAAGUAAGUCAACAAAGUAAGUAAACCUCGGAUACUAUACCUCUCCUCUGUCACCUAAUUACAUUCUAAAGAAUUCCACUAUCCACUCGAAACUUAACUGGAAACUUUACCUCUCCUCUCCUCUGGCAACUACUACUUAGUUCCAUUCUGAGUCUACUGAUUUCCAUUCUGAUUCUUUGAUUACUUAGGUCAGAGUUCAGUUCCAUUCCGAGCCUACCUAGCUGCACAGGCUGAGACGAGUGAGUUGGAUUCUUAAGCACCAGCAUCAGCAGCCAGCUAAAGCUGCCCUUGCUUUCAGGCUUGGACUCCUUAGCUGCAUCCCAUACUAGUAGCAUACCGCAUCAGGCUUGCUCGCCCUAGGUCUAUUCUGUCACUCCUUAGUUCGAUUCCGGUUUCCUAUAUAUAGAAUAGCUUUUUUAUCUAUUAUUUUUCCCUUCCUAACAAGUACAGAAAAGCUAUAAGAAAAUGAUGAGUAAUCUUCUGGUUUAUUUAUGAUUCUUCUCAAAUUAUUCACCAGGCUAUUCUCUAAGAUAUGAUGAAACCAGAACAGUUCAUUCAGCAUCCGUAUUCCGACCCUACUUCUAGUGUUAACGCCUCUAUCUCCUAUGGCUACCCGGUAUUCCAAUAAGAAUAACUGACCUCGCGAACAGCCUAUCAUCUAUAAUACCUGGCAACCGAAACAAGACUGGAAGACUUCUCUUCAUUACUAGAGGAACAAGAUCAUCAGCUACUAAGAGGAACAAGAUUGGAAGCCGGGUGUGGGGAGUUGUCAAGUAAGAAGUCAACAAGUACUACCGGGUGUGGGAAGUUGUCAAGUAAGAAGUCAACAAGUACUACCUGGACUACAACUACCAGUAUUAAACAAUCACCAGAACAGGAGCUAAAAAGGACUAAUCACUAUAAGAAAGAAACCCUCAAAUAAGACCUAUCCCUCCACUCUUGCUACUAAUACAGAUGCAACAAACAGGACCACUACACUACAGGUUGGGGCUCGGAAUAGCUUACCACAAGCACAUAGCCAGUAAUAAACCAAGUCCUGUUUUUGGGAGCCUAGGUUGUUUCACCUCUGUUCCACGACUCAGAUAUUUAUGUGGGAUAAUGGGGUACCCUAUUGGCUCUUUAAAUGCAUUUUCUACUAUUUCUACAGGAUUCGGCGAGAAACUCCUAACACAAGUGAUGCUUCUUCUCUCUAUCUCGCAUUAACCUAGCACUAGCUGUCAAGACAGUCAAACAGUAAGUCUGGAAGAUUGCGGAGUCUCUUCUCUAUAAGAACAUUUUCGGAAUUCGAAAGGCUUUUUCUAAAGCUUACUCGAAGGAUGGAAUAAUUAAGGUAAAGGGGUGCGAAGGACGCUAGCGUGCAACCAUCUCCCAUUGUUGUCGGGGCUGUAUGGUGUUUUUAGUGUAUGUGGCCAUCGGAACCCCCUUAUCUAUCUCAGAAGCAUAUAGUUCUUCCUAGUUUACCCGAAGUACAUGGGCAGCCGGAUGUCUUAAGUCCUUAGCAGUCUUUAAAUUCCAUUCCAGUGCUAAAUCCUUUUGUUCAGGCAUUAGUUCAUACUUUCGAAAAGAAAGGCUCUAUCCCUUCCACUCGAAGACGAAAGUAAGCUAUACCUACCUAUAAACCUUUUUGUUUAGCUGUACUAAUUUUGCUGUGCUAAGUGACCAUGACCACCACCUUUAUCAAAACCAUUGAGUUUGAUCCCGUUCUGGAAUCCCUUUCCAAAAGCAGGUAAGGAAUCUGCUCGUACCGAACCACAAGAUCCCCAUUAUUGUAUUUCCUAACCCGAGGAUUUCAUGUCUAUCGCUUUUGUGCCAACCUUUGUUUUGAGCCUAAAUCUUCUCCUGGCGGCUUUGCCUUACCCCCGACUUCUCUCAGCCAGUUUACAUCAUUUUUGUCUCAGAUCUCGAGGUGUACUUUAUUUAGGGGACUUCUCUCUUUGUAGUUUGACAUAUGAAACUGAAUUACGUCUAUCUUAUCCUGUUUCCGAACUGUGGGUAUGUUUUGACCAUGUGACUUUGACUAUCCUUAUAUAGUAGUAGAAGUCUGUCUCACUUUUCUCACUUAUUCGGUCAGUUGCUGUCUUACCUCCUCCAUGCUCCUUGCUAUCUUUAGCCUUGAGAGCAACCAAAGCAUUGCAUAGAAUAACUAAUGAGAUUACAGGUGUUAGCAUUGUUGUUGAUAGCCCUACCACAGCUACUGGAGCGAAUAAACUCUACUUACGAUGGAACAUGGACAUUGUUAAUAGGGGGCGUAUAGGGGAAGGAGACUACCAAAGACGCUUUGUCUCGUCCUAACAACUAUCUAUUACAAUAACCGAAGAAAUGGCUAACAGUGGAGACUCGUCUUGGCUAGCAAACCCUGUGACUUUACCCAGACAGUCCUGUACCUUCGUGAAUUGUUAGCCUUUUCACCAGCGCUUAAGACAGGCAGAAGUUUAGGAUUCUAGACAAGAUAGAAUGUUGUAGCAUACGUUCAGGUUCAGGUCCUCUCCCUGUAUUAGGGAAUCGCCCAGACAGUGAGAAUAUGCCCGUCAAUAGAUCAUUUUAGAGAUCCGAGAGUUGGUACUUUCAUGAAUUAGAACCUUUAGCUGGUAGCUAGCAAAGAAGUUCUCCCUAUUAUAGUGUUGCCUUGCGAGUAAGCUAUUCAUAUAGUGUUUUGAUUCUCAUUUCUAUUGUAAGUGAGGCCCUGGAUCUGGAUGAGGCGGGUUAGGAGUAAGUGCUAAUUCUGCUCUGCCUUGUAGCUGCUUUUAUUUGAAAAAGGAUCCGGAUAGUCCCUUCGAAAGUAUAAAUAACUCGUUCCGCAUAAGUGUCUAUCCAUAUACUGAAAGACGUAGUUAUCCUUGCUGCGGCCAUCCGAAAGCGCCUAUGUUAUGUAGUGGAAGGUGUUUUUCUUUUUUGGUCAGUCUAUGCGAAGAUACCUUUAAGCUAGUCUAAGUGCGUGCUUCUUAUACAUAGACGUUUUCAGAUAGAACUUUACCAUGAGAGAGACUCCUUCGAAACCAAUCCAGAGUCCGUAUCCCUAAACACAACCCUUAUAGGGAUGCAGUGCGCGUAACGUGGUGGAUUAUGGGGCCCGUUCCUAUAAGCCGAGUACAAAGUUAUUACAUAAUGAUUCAGAAUAUCAAUAAUGAAAUGAAUAGCAAUUGGAAUACCAUAAUGUUUAUGGACCCUUCCUUAGUGAGCUCUUCUUUCUUUUGAACCGGAUGAUGUCGGUAACGGCUGUAUAUUCGACCAUUGCUCGGAGGGAACAGUAAGAUCUUUCCUCUCACUGGCGUGCCUACGCUGGGAUAAAGAUAUAUCGAAAACGUGCAGUGAUAAGGUAUACUUCACUUAGUUUACAAAAACCCCUGUUCGGAUGCCUGAACAGCUUUUAACUAGAAAGAGAAUGACCUCUCGAGCGGAGCAUUUCGUUGACCGAUCAAAGCCUAUUUUCGAAUGGAAAGUUCUCAAAUCUCAAUUAUGGAAAAAAGCCCAAUUGGAAGAGUCUUAAUUCGCAUUUCUUAUUAUAUAUGGAAGGACCCGAUUUCGAAAAUUCCCUUUUUGACCGUAUAAUAGAAAUAGGCGGCCUAUAGGAAUCCCCUUGCUUGCCAUUCCGUUCUAAACCUCUAUCUCGUCUCUCUUUCACCUCCAAUUGAGAAUAGGAAAGAAGCAAACAAGCAAACAAAGGAACUGGGUUUAGAUGGGAACGGUCAAUAAACCUUUGGAGCUUAGAAUAACUCUAAGUCUUUCCAACU